rnacentral:rRNA from 1 species
AUUGAACGCUGGCGGCAUGCUUUACACAUGCAAGUCGAACGGCAGCGCGGGCUUCGUCCUGGCGGCGAGUGGCGAACGGGUGAGUAAUGCAUCGGAACGUGCCCAGUAGUGGGGGAUAGCCCGGCGAAAGCCGGAUUAAUACCGCAUACGACCUGAGGGUGAAAGCGGGGGACCGAAAGGCCUCGCGCUAUUGGAGCGGCCGAUGUCGGAUUAGCUAGUUGGUGGGGUAAAGGCUUACCAAGGCGACGAUCCGUAGCUGGUCUGAGAGGACGACCAGCCACACUGGGACUGAGACACGGCCCAGACUCCUACGGGAGGCAGCAGUGGGGAAUUUUGGACAAUGGGGGCAACCCUGAUCCAGCCAUGCCGCGUGCGGGAAGAAGGCCUUCGGGUUGUAAACCGCUUUUGUUCGGGAAGAAAUCCUCUGGGCUAAUACCCCGGGGGGAUGACGGUACCGGUAGAAUAAGCACCGGCUAACUACGUG